rnacentral:tRNA from 1 species
GAGGGUAUAACUCAAUGGUAGAGUGUGUGCUUAGCAUGCUCGAGGUCCUGGGUUCAAUCCCCAGCACCUCCA